CCCUCCAUGGGGGUGGAGUGGUUUUAGGGGUUGGGCCAGAAUCUGCUUAGGCCGUUACAGCAAUCUGGGUCACUCGGCUGGGAGAGAAAGAGCCCCUUUAACUGGAUGACCUCAUUGCUCCUGCAUUAUCAUUAUUUUCCCAGUCAGUCACUACGCUGAGAUACAUGGAGACUGUGCACCAGGAAGUACAUCCGAUUCCCCCACGACGCACACACAAACACUAACCCAAGGGAGAGGAAACGUAGUUACGACAGCUCAGACAUAUGUGACCCUGAAACCCUCUCUGCUUCCAUGCUACAAGAUCAAACAUCUCAUGGGUGGAAUUUCAUUUGUGCUGCGAAGAGGGCCCCAUUUUCUCACCAUUCCAUCUCUGCCUUCAGAGCCCGGAGCUCCUGCCAAUGGCUGUUAGAGGAAUCUGAUUUGUGUUGAUUACAUUAACAUUCUCCAGAUGUUCAUAGUCAGAGAUCUGACGCUUCUGUCGCACAACUGUCUCAUCUUGGAGAGCAAAGAGAUGCAGGGCUACAUCGUGUGAGCGCUGUGAGGGAAUGCUGUAUGUCAACAGAGUGUGAGCAGACACAUGAGAUGAACGUGGAGUGGGUUCAAAGGAAAUGAGGUGUGAGCUUUAAGGAGAAAUAUAGCUGCAGUGGACGAGAAGGAAAAGACAGAAGGAAACUGGAUACAAGUGAGGCAGAAAAUAAAUGAACCUCAUGAAACAAGCAUAUCAAGCUGGACAGAAAUGGUGAAGUGAAACUUUGAUUGAAGGAAGUGUGAGUCUGCAAAGAAGAACAGCAGAAGAGCUUCAGUUACAGCGGAGAGUCAUUUUCCUGAGCAGUGUCCAGUCCAUCUGUUUGAUUUGGCCUUUACAGGGUUUGGUGUUUUUGGUGCUUGCUGGAUGGCCACAGGAAGUGGUCCACCCCCCCUUCCCCUGUCCCCUGGGUCAUCAGAAGGAAACACGAUCCCCUUAAUAUGGUCUGAUGUCGUCCUCCACCGAGUGCUGGUCCUGAGCACUACAUGGGGGCUCAACAGGGGAGCUGAAGUCAGCACUGGAAACAAAGAUAAAAUUUAAGUGUUAGAAGCUGCAAAAUACGAUUGAUAGCUGCAAGAUCAGCAGUUUAGUAUACUGCAUGGUUAAAAAAAACCUUAUUAAUAGAUAGAAACAUUAAACUAUUCCAACCUAAAAUAGAUAUUCUUUUAAUGUGUUUGUGUAAUAUUCAUUCUAGUAUAGGAAGUGUAUUUACAGAGUGUUCAGA